UCUUCCCACAAGGAGCUAUAGAGAAUUUCAGAAUAGGGAGGAAUACAAAACCAAAUCUCUUCCCAAGACAAUAUGCCAUUGCAAAUUAGGCAGUGUGACAAGAAUAGCAUCUUGCACUGAUGUGCUUGUCCACAAUAAUCUUCUGUCCCCAUGAUCUCUGAUGGGCACAGGCCUGCUGACCCAGCCAAAGCCAGUGACUCCUCAAGAAAGUUGAUCUGCAAGUAGAAUCUUGUAAUGAAUGGCCACCAUGGCACUCAUGCACACUGGAAUCAGCCUUGUCACUCUGUCAGGCAAGAAUUCCCCCAGAAUCAAAUCAGUGUCUGUGGGUCUGAGCACACUGGUCCUAAUGAAAACAGAAGUGCAAAGCCCUACUGACUGGAAAUGAAGAGGACACGCUCUGCUGUGAAGAUGUCUCUAAGAGGAUGUUGCCAGCUUUAAAAUGUUCUGAAUUCAAAGCGUUCAGUGGAAAAUGCAGAGACUCUGAAGACAUAUGACUGAUCUCCAAACGUGACUUGGCUGACUGGAUAUUAUUCUCAAAAUAAAAAUAAA